ACAGAGGGGGCAAGCGUUGUUCGGAAUUACUGGGCGUAAAGGGCGCGUAGGCGGCCUUCUAAGUCGAACGUGAAAUCCCCGGGCUCAACCCGGGAACUGCGUCCGAUACUGGAAGGCUUGAAUCCGGGAGAGGGAUGUGGAAUUCCAGGUGUAGCGGUGAAAUGCGUAGAUAUCUGGAGGAACACCGGUGGCGAAGGCGACUACCUGGCCUGUUCUUGACGCUGAGGCGCGAAAGCUAGGGGAGCAAACGGGA
rnacentral:rRNA from 1 species